rnacentral:rRNA from 1 species
CAGUCGAGCGCGGGAAGCAAGCUGAUCCCUUCGGGGUGACGCUUGUGGAACGAGCGGCGGACGGGUGAGUAACACGUGGGCAACCUGCCUGUAAGACUGGGAUAACUCCGGGAAACCGGGGCUAAUACCGGAUAAUCCUUUGAGUCGCAUGACUUAAAGAUGAAAGACGGCUUCGGCUGUCACUUACAGAUGGGCCCGCGGCGCAUUAGCUAGUUGGUAGGGUAAUGGCCUACCAAGGCAACGAUGCGUAGCCAACCUGAGAGGGUGAUCGGCCACACUGGGACUGAGACACGGCCCAAACUCCUACGGGAGGCAGCAGUAGGGAAUCUUCCGCAAUGGACGAAAGUCUGACGGAGCAACGCCCCGUGAGUGAUGAAGGUUUUCGGAUCGUAAAGCUCUGUUGUUAGGGAAAAACAAGUACAAGAGUAACUGCUCGUACCUUGACGGUACCUGACAAGAAAGCCACGGCUAACUACGUGCCACCAGCCGCGGUAAUACGUAGGUGGCAAGCGUUGUCCGGAAUUAUUGGGCGUAAAGCGCGCGCAGGCGGUUUCUUAAGUCUGAUGUGAAAGCCCACGGCUUAACCGUGGAGGGUCAUUGGAAACUGGGGAACUUGAGUACAGAAAAGGAGAGUGGAAUUCCACGUGUAGCGGUGAAAUGCGUAGAUAUGUGGAGGAACACCAGUGGCGAAAGCGACUCUCUGGUCUGUAACUGACGCUCAGGCGCGAAAGCGUGGGGAGCGAACAGGAUUAGAUACCCUGGUAGUCCACGCCGUAAACGAUGAGUGCUAGGUGUUAGGGGGUUUCCCCCCCUUAGUGCUGAAGUUAACGCAUUAAGCACUCCCCCUGGGGAGUACGGCCGCAAGGCUGAAACUCAAAAGAAUUGACGGGGGCCCCCACAAACGGUGGAACAUGUGGUUUAAUUCGAAGCAACGCGAAGAACCUUACCAGGUCUUGACAUCCUCUGCUACUUCUA